ACAUGGUGGGAGAAGGGUGAC
rnacentral:miRNA from 1 species